AGGGAGCAUCUUUACCCAGGAUGAGGAGC
rnacentral:piRNA from 1 species